rnacentral:rRNA from 1 species
GAUGAACGCUGGCGGCGUGCCUAAUACAUGCGAGUCGAGCGAACGGACGAGAAGCUUGCUUUUCUGAUGUUAGCGGCGGACGGGUGAGUAACACGUGGAUAACCUACCUAUAAGACUGGGAUAACUUCGGGAAACCGGAGCUAAUACCGGUUAAUAUUUUGAACCGCAUGGUUCAAAAGUGAAAGACGGUCUUGCUGUCACUUAUAGAUGGAUCCGCGCUGCAUUAGCUAGUUGGUAAGGUAACGGCUUACCAAGGAAACGAUGCAUAGCCGACCUGAGAGGGUGAUCGGCCACACUGGAACUGAGACACGGUCCAGACUCCUACGAGAGGCAGCAGUAGGGAAUCUUCCGCAAUGGGCGAAAGCCUGACGGAGCAACGCCGCGUGAGUGAUGAAGGUCUUCGGAUCGUAAAACUCUGUUAUUAGGGAAGAACAUAUGUGUAAGUAACUGUGCACAUCUUGACGGUACCUAAUCAGAAAGCCACGGCUAACUACGUG